rnacentral:rRNA from 1 species
AUUGAACGCUGGCGGCAGGCCUAACACAUGCAAGUCGAACGGUAACAGGAAGAAGCUUGCUUUUUUGCUGACGAGUGGCGGACGGGUGAGUAAUGUCUGGGAAACUGCCUGAUGGAGGGGGAUAACUACUGGAAACGGUAGCUAAUACCGCAUAACGUCGCAAGACCAAAAAGGGGGACCUUCGGGCCUCUUGCCAUCGGAUGUGCCCAGAUGGGAUUAGCUAGUAGGUGGGGUAACGGCUCACCUAGGCGACGAUCCCUAGCUGGUCUGAGAGGAUGACCAGCCACACUGGAACUGAGACACGGUCCAGACUCCUACGGGAGGCAGCAGUGGGGAAUAUUGCACAAUGGGCGCAAGCCUGAUGCAGACAUGCCGCGUGUAUGAAGAAGGCCUUCGGGUUGUAAAGUACUUUCAGCGGGGAGGAAGGGAGUAAAGUUAAUACCUUUGCUCAUUGACGUUACCCGCAGAAGAAGCACCGGCUAACUCCGUG